AUGCCCUCAUUUGUCUGGAUUUGGAGGCCCGACGCAGCUCUCUGUCUCUCUCGAUCCCUCUCCUCCACCCCGCCGCCACCCACCCUAUCCUCCACCCCGCCCCGUCCCGUCCCGGUCCCGGUCCAUCUCCGCCCCGUACUGUCCCUCUCCGGCAAGGUCGCAAGGACACUCCGACGUCUUGGUUACCUGUCCCUCUCGCCACCGGUAAGGCUUCUCCUCUCGCUCCCUUCCCCACCUCUCUUCUCCCCCCUCCCUCUCUCUGAUGCGUUUUUCUUCUUGAACCCUAACCCUAACCUGAACCCACCUGUUCAGCAGGACGCCUCACUCCAGCCACCCGAUCUGGGCAGCCCACGGUAG
rnacentral:rRNA from 1 species